CGUUGAAACUCCGGUCCCCGUACGAUCACCGAAGUUAAGCAACGUUGAGUCUGAUCAGUACCUAGAUGGGUUACCGCUUGGGAAUACCAGGUGAUGCAAG